rnacentral:rRNA from 1 species
AUGGCCAGCCGCCGCCGCCGCCGCUCGCCGAGGGCGACGCCGCUGGACAAUGACGAUUUGCUUUCCGAGAUCCUCCUCCGCCUCCCACCGCAGCCCUCCUCCCUCCCUCGCGCCUCGUUCGUCUGCAAGCGCUGGCGCUCCCUCGUCUCCGACCCAGGCUUCCUCCGCCGCUUCCGCGUCCACCACCGUCCUCAACUGCCGCCAUGGUCUCGUACUCAUCUCUGA